AGAGUUUGAUCCUGGCUCAGGAUGAACGCUGGCGGCGUGCCUAAUACAUGCAAGUCGAGCGAACCACUUCGGUGGUGAGCGGCGAACGGGUGAGUAACACGUAGGUGAUCUGCCCAUCAGACGGGGACAACGAUUGGAAACGAUCGCUAAUACCGGAUAGGACGAAAGUUUAAAGGUGCUUCUGGCACCGCUGAUGGAUGAGCCUGCGGCGCAUUAGCUAGUUGGUAGGGUAAAGGCCUACCAAGGCGACGAUGCGUAGCCGACCUGAGAGGGUGAACGGCCACACUGGGACUGAGACACGGCCCAGACUCCUACGGGAGGCAGCGGUAGGGAAUCUUCGGCAAUGGGCGAAAGCCUGACCGAGCAACGCCGCGUGAAUGAUGAAGGCCUUCGGGUUGUAAAAUUCUGUUAUAAGGGAAGAACGACUUUAGUAGGAAAUGGCUAGAGUGUGACGGUACCUUAUGAGAAAGCCACGGCUAACUACGUGCCAGCAGCCGCGGUAAUACGUAGGUGGCGAGCGUUAUCCGGAAUUAUUGGGCGUAAAGAGCGCGCAGGUGGGUUGAUUAAGUCUGAUGUGAAAGCCCACGGGCUUAACCCGUGGAGGGUCAUUGGAAAACUGGUCGA
rnacentral:rRNA from 1 species